rnacentral:sRNA from 2 species
GACCACGGCGCGCCGCACCCGAGUCCGCGACUCGGGCGGGCCCGUCUCGGGGUGAAGCCGCGGACCGCGGCCGGGCACCGAUCGCCCGAACCCGACAGCUGACCUCGCCGGCGGUGAUCGGAGAUCAC